UCAGGCCUAACACAUGCAAGUCGAGCGGUAGCAGGAAGUGCUUGCACUUCGCUGACGAGCGGCGGACGGGUGCGUAACACGUAGGAAUCUGCCUGGUAGUGGGGGAUAGCCCGGAGAAAUCCGGAUUAAUACCGCAUACGCCCUACGGGGGAAAGGAGGGGACUCUUCGGAGCCUUUCGCUAUCAGAUGAGCCUGCGUCGGAUUAGCUUGUUGGUGGGGUAAAGGCCUACCAAGGCGACGAUCCGUAGCUGGUCUGAGAGGAUGAUCAGCCACACUGGGACUGAGACACGGCCCAGACUCCUACGGGAGGCAGCAGUGGGGAAUAUUGCACAAUGGGCGAAAGCCUGAUGCAGCCAUGCCGCGUGUGUGAAGAAGGCCCUAGGGUUGUAAAGCACUUUCAGUGGGGAGGAAAGGUUGAAGGUUAAUACCCUUCAGCUGUGACGUUACCCACAGAAGAAGCACCGGCUAACUCCGUGCCAGCAGCCGCGGUAAUACGGAGGGUGCGAGCGUUAAUCGGAAUUACUGGGCGUAAAGCGUGCGUAGGCGGCCACCUAAGUUGGAUGUGAAAGCCCCGGGCUCAACCUGGGAACUGCAUCCAAGACUGGGUGGCUAGAGUACGGGAGAGGAGUGUGGAAUUUCCUGUGUAGCGGUGAAAUGCGUAGAUAUAGGAAGGAACACCAGUGGCGAAGGCGACACUCUG
rnacentral:rRNA from 1 species